CUUGCAAUUUCCUAUUUCCGUGUCCUGUUCCCCCAACACUCAAAGCUAAGACCAUCUUCUUCCUGCCUCUCGUCACCAUGGGCUCCAUGCUCCUCUGCUGUGUGGUCUUUUGUCUCCUGGGAACAGGCUCCAUGGAUGUUGGUAUUACCCAGACUCCAAGGAAUAGGAUAGCAAACACAGGAAAGAGCACUGUACUGGAAUGUUCUCAGACUAAGGGUCAUGAGUCUAUGUACUGGUACCGACAAGACCCAGGACUGGGGCUCCGGCAGAUCUACUACUCCCACGGUGUCGAUGAUAUUAACAAAGGAGAUGUCUCCGAUGGGUACAGAGUCUCUCGUAAGGAGCAGGCGAAGUUCUCCCUCUUCCUAGAGCCCGCCACCCCCAACCAGACAGCCCUUUACUUCUGUGCCAGCAGUAUUUGCACAGUGCUUCCUGGCCACCUGCUCUCUACACAGAAAGACAGGCACCUUUGCUCAUAA